rnacentral:rRNA from 1 species
CAAUAGCGUAUAUUUAAGUUGUUGCAGUUAAAAAGCUCGUAGUUGGAUUUCGGGUGGGACGCAGCGGUCUCGCAUUGCGUUUGUACUGCUGCAGCCCUCCUUCUUGCCGGGGGCGGCCUCUCGGACUUCACUGUCUGGGGGUCAGAAUCGGCGAUGUUACUUUGAGUAAAUUAGAGUGUUCAAAGCAAGCUUACGCUCUGAAUAUAAUAGCAUGGGAUAACACGACAGGACUCUGGCCUAUCGUGUUGGUCUAUAGGACCAGAGUAAUGAUUAAGAGGGACAGUCGGGGGCAUUCGUAUUCCGUUGUCAGAGGUGAAAUUCUUGGAUUUACGGAAGACGAACAUCUGCGAAAGCACUUGCCAAGGAUGUUUUCAUUGG